CUUAGUCUUCUUUCACUCUCUCAGAUUGCAGAUGUCAUAUUUUACGAGCAAUUCAAGAUCACUUAUAAACAUUUGUAGUAUUACUUAUGGACAUGCACCAUUUGCAUUUAUACACUUUAAUAUGUGAAGUACUGGUACUUACCCACUUUAUAAUUUACUAAUUACACUUGACACUUUAUAAUUUAUUAAUUAUAUUGUUUAUAACGUUUGUUCUUUUUUUCUUUACUUCAGCAUUUACUUUAGCGUCUAUUUUUGUUCUCAUUAGUACUUUGUAUUUUUAUUGUAUUGUACCUUAUCCUGUGUUUUCCACUGCUGCUGGCCUGUUGAAACAAAGGAAUUUCCCCUCCGGGGGAUUAAUAAAGUUGUUAUCUUGUUUUAAUAAAGUUAAUGAAGAGUAUGCCUCCAACACCCCCCUAUUCUCUGAUCUCCAGACCCCCAGGUGGGCUGUGUGUUUGGGGGGAGCUGUGUGCUGCCUUGCCGCUUCCAUCCAAACAGUGAUACCAUCCUCCACUGGAACAAGGUGAAUGGGAAGGAUGUUCAGGUCCACUCCUACUAUGAUGACCAGGACCAACUGGGACACCAGGACCCUCUCUACAAGGGAAGGACCUCGCUGUUCCAUGACCAGAUGUCAGGGGGCAACGCAUCCCUUGGUCUGGCCAGGGUGAACCUCCAGGACCAGGGCAGGUACCUGUGUUACGCCAGCACUUCACAGAACAACCAGGAGACCUUCGUCACUCUGACAGUGAGAGAGGGAUCAUAUAGCACACCUUGGUUACAAUUAGGAUUCUAUUUUUAUGUUACACUUUUAAUCAUCAUCAGCAUCAGCCUCAUCUGUUUACGUUUAAAGAGAAGUGUUUCUUUUGAAUUUUUUGUAUCAUUUUCUAUAAUAUUUUCUCUUGUAAAUUACUUCACAUUAUAUUUUAUUUCGUUCUUUGUGUCAUUUUCUCUUUUAUUUUAAAUUAAUUAGUUGAAAACGUUUGUGUGGUUAUUUCUGGGUCAUUUAUUAGGGAUGUGAUGGGUAGUUUUAUCUGUAUUAUAAUGUAAUAAUCAACCACAUUUAUAUAUUUUAGUUUACUAUAUACUGUAUAUUCAUGUUAAUGAUGUAUUUUGGUUUGUCUUUGUCUUCACUGCCUCACUGUGGGAGGUCUAAAAUGAGCGUGCUUCACCUCAAACACACGAUGCCUCUGGUGCUGCACAGAUGUGUUAUGUUGUACCCAUUAAGUUAAUGGUGACCAUAUCAAAUUAAAUAAAUGAAUAUAUUUUAA